rnacentral:pre_miRNA from 1 species
AUUCUACUCCCUCCGUUGCACAAUACAUGCCUUCUAUUUGUCAAAAUAUAUAUGUAUCUAGACAUGUUUUAGUAUAUAGGUACAUCCAUUUUUGGACAAAUGGAAGUCAAGUAUUUUGGAACGGAGGGAGUACAUA